rnacentral:rRNA from 1 species
AUUGAACGCUGGCGGCAUGCUUUACACAUGCAAGUCGUACGGUAACAGGCGGCAAGGUGCUCACGAGUGGCGAACGGGUGAGUAAUUCAUCGGACCGUGCCCAGUAGUGGGGGAUAACUGCCCGAAAGAGCAGCUAAUACCGCAUACGAUCUAUGGAUGACAGAGUGGGAACGUAAGGCCUCGCGCGAUUGCAGCGGCCGAUGUCAGAUUAGGUAGUUGGUGGGGUAAAGGCUACCCAAGCCAACGAUCUGUAGCUGGUCUGAGAGGACGCCCAGGCACACUGGGACUGAGACACGGGACAGACUUCUACGGGAGGCAGCAGGGGGUGAUUUUGGAGAAUGGGGGCAAGCCUGAUCCAGCAAUGCCGCGUGCAGGAAGAAGGCCUUCGGGUUGUAAACUGCUUUUGUACGGAACGAAACGGUCUGGGUUAAUACCCUGGGCUAAUGACGGUACCGUAAGAAUAAGCACCGGCUAACUACGUGCCAGCCGCCGCCGUAACAC